AUGAUCUUUUCUGAACCUCACUUUCUUCCUUUCUAGGAAUUAGCCAACAGUGUCAUUAUACCAAUGAAAUAUGGCAGUGUGCCUGGUGCUUGGCCCAUGAAGUAAUCCAGCAGUUCAAACUGCCAAGGUUCAAAUCCUGGCUUUUCUGCAUACUAGCUGUGUGACCAUGGGCCAUUUACUCAAAUUCAUUCGCUUUACCUCUCUUAAAAUGAGAUAAUAACAUACACUAUGCAAAGAACAGAGUUGGGCGCAG
rnacentral:lncRNA from 1 species